GGGGAUGUUCUGGCUUCGACGCUGGUAAUGAAACUCAAUGACGCAUGUCAAGAGUGUAUGCCUCUUGUAAAUCAACAUACCAUUAAAAUAGUCGCAAACGACGAAACUUACGCUCU
rnacentral:tmRNA from 1 species